UUACCUCCCCUUUAUCUGGCACUCCCUUAGGUUCUUUCCCUGGGCAGUAUUGUAUUAUUUUGUUCAUGUCUAGACGCUAUGCCUUAUUGGUCUAUGGUACUUGUGCUAUUCAACUUACCCCCUGAGUCUUGACUCCCGGCAUCUAGGUUACAGAAUACUGCUUCACAAAAUGGAAGCAGCAGAUGGUCGACAAGCAGGGAUACCUACUUUGUAAUCACCAUGACCAGCGGGCACAACUGGGGACGGCUAUGGAAGAGGCUCUUCGCAGUGUUCAACGUCUUGAACAUACCCGAGAGGAGCUGCCUUCAACUAGUGGAGGAUACUCUACCACCAGCCCAUUCAGCUAACUGCGCAGGUCAGCGACAUCCCUCCUGGAUAAAUAUGACAGCACCCCAUGUAAAUGCUGUGGCUUCUGACUACAGUAUUCUACUUUUCGCACCAGAUGGGGCUUCCUACUGCCGAGAGGUCCAAGGUUGCCACGGUUAUUUCUCUGCUGACUGGGUGGGCAUUGGAAUGGGCCAUAGAUGUCUGGGAGAGGAGCUGGAUUUGUAUGCUUGGUUCAGAGGUAUCUUUGAUCAUCCACUGGAGGGCAGAGAGGGGUGAGUGCCUACUCCAACUACGGAGGACCAGAUGGCUGCUGAGUACGCACUCAUCAUCUGGACAGUAGCAACAUCCAGUGGCCUGACUGUGCGAAGAGGUUCAGACGGGACUGGCCUAUAGAGGACAACCUCUGCUUGAUAUCACUCAUUGUGAUGGCCAUCCGGUUGGAUAACCUUUUUUUCGGGAGCAUCGGCACUCAUCACUUCUCUCCCUCCCUCAGUGAACACUUUGGAUCAGAGCCUGAACCCAUGGGGGUAGGGGUCACUUGCCUCCCCGCAGUGGAGCAAUGCAGGCGGCGAUUGCUGGGGCUCUGUCUCUAUUGUGGGAACCUGCUCCAGCAGUGUCCGAUACGGCCCAACUCGGGAUCCACAAGUGUAGAGGGAUGGUCACCUGAUCUUUUACUUCCUGGGGCAGAUCAAUAGUGGAUUCCUGUGCUGCGGGGAACUUUAUUGACCAGACCCUUGCCUCAACUUCAACUAAUACCCGCUCUCCUCGCCUUUCCUGGUUCAAGCCCUCUAUAAUCAGUAAUUAGGUUCCGGGACCAUCAGACACAUCAAACUACUCACUGCGCCCCCACGCUGAUGCAUCUACCCUCUGUCGGUGGCUGAAACCCAGGACAUCGAAGAGUACAUUCAUGAGGCGCUCCAACAAGGUUUCAUCCGCACGUCCACUUCUCCUGCGUCCGCAGAUUGGACCUGCGGAGUGCAUACAAUCAUCUGCAUCAGGGAGGAGGAUGACUGGAAGACAGCUUGUAGCACAAUAUCUGGUCACUGGAGGAUCACUUUGCGUGGAUGAAAAAUUAAGACUACAGUGGAGACCCUGAAUCAUCCCUCCUUCUGGAAACCACAGGAGAGUUGGGAAUGAGAGGAUGGGAAGUGUCGUAAUGCUGCCCAAGAGCUUCUAGAAGUGCUAUGGAGACAACCUGUCAGUGGAGAUCCAAGCUGCCGUCUGAAUUGAUGAUAAAGAUGGAUGGCAGAAAGCCCUACCCUGAACAUGUUGGUUACUACUCUCCAUGAGCACUAUGCUGAGGAUUUAGAAUCUGUUGACCUAAUGAAGAUGCUCCCUGAUCUCUUUGGAUGCGUCUACAUGUUGGCCAAGAAAAAGGGCUGGAAUUUAAGGCCUGGUCUGAAAAACGUAUUUCAGAAUGAUCUAAGCUCAUGGUUCUGAAAUGUGAAGUGAUGAAAUAUGACCUAUUGUAGUACUUUUGACUUUUGUAGGUAGAGCCACUGAUCUUAACUGUUAAGAACAUUUUAUAUUCUAUAUCUUCACAGAUCUAAACCAUAUGAUUUUUACGAAUCUUACAUGGUUAUAGCCUACAUAUUAUGGGAGUUCAUAUGAAAAUACAGUACACACAAAACUUUGAUCAAAUUAGUAGUUACUUUUUACUUCAGGUAAGGCAUUCAGGAUUCGUAUUAAUAUGAAUUAUCUGUAUGAGAUUUCAGGGAUAUCUGGAUUGAAGUGUUGACAUCCUUUAAAAAAAAAAUCUGUUUUCCUUGAUAUGAAGUCUGCCCAAGAGUGCAUUGAAACAUGAUUGUAUUUCUUAAAUCCGUAAUCUAUCAAUGGAGGAGCUGUGAUGCUCUCGUGGAUAGAACUGUGACGGUUACAAAUGUAGUGUUGAUCAGCAACAGUUUUCUAUUAACCACCCUAAAAUGUUAAUGCACCUCUCAACAUAAUAAAUGGUAUAAAAGAGCAAAGUUAUUGUUUUUGACACACCCAGACAUUCCCGCCCACCUGCAACAGCUGCUGGUGUAGAGUAAACAAACUAGUAUGCAGUAGGAACAAAACAUUGUCCUCUUUCUGGUAUAAAGCCACACAUCCAGCACCAAACCAACCACAAUGAAAAGCCGACCUCUGAGUCACCAGGAAUUCUGACAGAGGGUAGUAGAACUACUGUCACCUCUGACGCCAGGUGGUCGCUUAGCCCACCCGGUUAGAUGGAAAUCAUACCAAUCACACCAUUCAGGGGACUGUGGUUGACAUGAUGUGUUGUAAACGUAACUGCAUGUUUUGUCAUCUUUGGGUUAAAGGAAGCACUCUGUACAUUUCUGUUGAAUUGUUAGAUGUAAUAUAUAGGCCAUUCUUGCAUGUCAUUUACCGUUUAUGUGACUGUGGAGAACCUGACGUGAGCCUGGUAUACCCCAACCUGAGUAAUGGAAUCGACAGGUUUGCUUCAAGUAUUGUCUUAUCAUUGACCUGUUAGGGUGUUUGUAAAUAUACAUUUAGAUUAUUUUGUAAAUAUUGUCAUUUGAACAUCUAAAUCACCAUUGUCAUUUUUUAAAAUAAACAACUUCUGCACGUGAUCCUGCCUGCCUCCUGCAACAUUUAACCGUCCAAAAAUAGAUUUAGCAACAAAGGAUUUAGGGCCUACAUUCAACAUGCAAGAAGCGAUAAGUUGGGCUUACAUCUUAGAUGGAAGGGCAUAGUACAAAAUGAAUAGCAUGCAUUUCCAUCUACAGUUUGGUUUAGAAAGCUGUGGCUAAAAAUAAUUGUAUCCAUUAGUGUACAUUGUCUAAAACAAACCAAAGAAGGGGUUACAAUUUCGGAGUUAUUUCCGGUCACUGCCGCUGGACCCGAUGCAAUGUGAAACAGGGAGUUGUAGUUCUUCACAGAAAGCGUAGGUGUAUUUGAACCAUUGUAGUUCCUAAGCACUGACAUUUAAACGUUUUUGUUCUGGAAUCACAAUCAUGAAGCACCCCUUAAAUGUAUUGUCUCUACAUUCUUGCCCUUUGUGCUGUUGUCUGUGCCCAAUGUUUGCACCAUGUUUUGCAACCAUGUUAUGUUCUGUUGCUACCAUGUUAUGUUCUGUUGCUACCAUGCUAUGUUCUGUUGCUACCAUGCUGUGUUAUGUGUUGCUGCCUUGCUAUGUGGUCUUAGGUCUCUCACAACAAGUGUUGUGUUGUCUCGUUGUGAUGUGUUUUGUCCUAUAUUUAUGUUAUUUAUUUUAAAUGUUUAAUCCUAGUCCCCGCAGGAGGUAUUUU